rnacentral:rRNA from 1 species
UACGUAGGGUGCGAGCGUUGUCCGGAAUUAUUGGGCGUAAAGAGCUCGUAGGCGGUGUGUCGCGUCGGCCGUGAAAACCUGCAGCUUAACUGUGGGAUUGCGGUCGAUACGGGCAUCACUGGAGUUCGGCAGGGGAGACUGGAAUUCCUGGUGUAGCGGUGAAAUGCGCAGAUAUCAGGAGGAACACCGGUGGCUAAGGCGGGUCUCUGGGCCGAUACUGACGCUGAGGAGCGAAAGCGUGGGGAGCGAACAGG